rnacentral:rRNA from 1 species
UACGAAGGGGGCUAGCGUUGCUCGGAAUCACUGGGCGUAAAGGGUGCGUAGGCGGGUCUUUAAGUCAGGGGUGAAAUCCUGGAGCUCAACUCCAGAACUGCCUUUGAUACUGAGGAUCUUGAGUUCGGGAGAGGUGAGUGGAACUGCGAGUGUAGAGGUGAAAUUCGUAGAUAUUCGCAAGAACACCAGUGGCGAAGGCGGCGAUCUGGGAAGAUACCGACGCUGAGGUGCGAAAGCGUGGGGAGCAAACAGG